GUGGGGAAUAUUGGGCAAUGGGCGCAAGCCUGACCCAGCAACGCCGCGUGAGGGAAGAAGGUUUUCGGAUUGUAAACCUCUGUCGCAGGGGACGAAGGAAGUGACGGUACCCUGUAAGAAAGCCCCGGCUAACUACGUGCCAGCAGCCGCGGUAAUACGUAGGGGGCGAGCGUUGUCCGGAAUUACUGGGCGUAAAGGGAGCGUAGGCGGUCGAUUAAGUUAGAUGUGAAACCCCCGGGCUUAACUUGGGGACUGCAUCUAAUACUGGUUGACUUAGAGUACAGGAGAGGGAAGCGGAAUUCCUAGUGUAGCGGUGAAAUGCGUAGAUAUUAGGAGGAACACCAGUGGCGAAGGCGGCUUUCUGGACUGACACUGACGCUGAGGCUCGAAAGCGUGGGGAGCAAACAGGA
rnacentral:rRNA from 1 species